rnacentral:snRNA from 1 species
ACUUUGAAGGCCGAAGAGGGG